CGCUGGCGGCAGGCCUAACACAUGCAAGUCGAACCUUUACAGGAAGCAGCUUGCUGCUUUGCUGACGAGUGGCGGACGGGUGAGUAAUGUCUGGGAAACUGCCCGAUGGAGGGGGAUAACUACUGGAGACGGUAGCUAAUACCGCAUAACGUCGCAAGACCAAAGAGGGGGACCUUCGGGCCUCUUGCCAUCGGAUGUGCCCAGAUGGGAUUAGCUAGUAGGUGGGGUAACGGCUCACCUAGGCGACGAUCCCUAGCUGGUCUGAGAGGAUGACCAGCCACACUGGAACUGAGACACGGUCCAGACUCCUACGGGAGGCAGCAGUGGGGAAUAUUGCACAAUGGGCGCAAGCCUGAUGCAGCCAUGCCGCGUGUAUGAAGAAGGCCUUCGGGUUGUAAAGUACUUUCAGCGGGGAGGAAGGGAGUAAAGUUAAUACCUUUGCUCAUUGACGUUACCCGCAGAAGAAGCACCGGCUAACUCCGUGCCAGCAGCCGCGGUAAUACGGAGGGUGCAGGCGUUAAUCGGAAUUACUGGGCGUAAAGCGCACGCAGGCGGUUUGUUAAGUCAGAUGUGAAAUCCCCGGGCUCAACCUGGGAACUGCAUCUGAUACUGGCAAGCUUGAGUCUCGUAGAGGGGGGUAGAAUUUCAGGUGUAGCGGUGAAAUGCGUAGAGAUCUGGAGGAAUACCGGUGGCGAAGGCGGCCCCCUGGACGAAGACUGACGCUCAGGUGCGAAAGCGUGGGGAGCAAACAGGAUUAGAUACCCUGGUAGUCCACGCCGUAAACGAUGUCGACUUGGAGGUUGUGCCCUUGAGGCGUGGCUUCCGGAGCUAACGCGUUAAGUCGACCGCCUGGGGAGUACGGCCGCAAGGUUAAAACUCAAAUGAAUUGACGGGGGCCCGCACAAGCGGUGGAGCAUGUGGUUUAAUUCGAUGCAACGCGAAGAACCUUACCUGGUCUUGACAUCCACGGAAGUUUUCAGAGAUGAGAAUGUGCCUUCGGGAACCGUGAGACAGGUGCUGCAUGGCUGUCGUCAGCUCGUGUUGUGAAAUGUUGGGUUAAGUCCCGCAACGAGCGCAACCCUUAUCCUUUGUUGCCAGCGGUCCGGCCGGGAACUCAAAGGAGACUGCCAGUGAUAAACUGGAGGAAGGUGGGGAUGACGUCAAGUCAUCAUGGCCCUUACGACCAGGGCUACACACGUGCUACAAUGGCGCAUACAAAGAGAAGCGACCUCGCGAGAGCAAGCGGACCUCAUAAAGUGCGUCGUAGUCCGGAUUGGAGUCUGCAACUCGACUCCAUGAAGUCGGAAUCGCUAGUAAUCGUGGAUCAGAAUGCCACGGUGAAUACGUUCCCGGGCCUUGUACACACCGCCCGUCACACCAUGGGAGUGGGUUGCAAAAGAAGUAGGUAGCUUAACCUUCGGGAGGGCGCUUACCAC
rnacentral:rRNA from 1 species